CAGCUUGCCGUUCCACAAGUUCUACUCAAUGCCAUCAAAAAACCGUUAACUGCUUAAAUUAAUAUCUUUGACAGCCCUUCAAGCAUGCCAAAAAUUGGUCAAUUUCAG